rnacentral:rRNA from 1 species
GAUGAACGCUGACAGAAUGCUUAACACAUGCAAGUCGACUUGAAGCAACUUCGGUUGUGGAAAGUGGCGGACGGGUGAGUAACGCGUAAAGAACUUGCCCUUCAGUCUGGGACAACCAUUGGAAACGAUGGCUAAUACCGGAUAUUAUGGAACUCUCGCAUGGGAGGAUCAUGAAAGCUAUAUGCGCUGAAGGAGAGCUUUGCGUUCCAUUAGCUAGUUGGUGAGGUAACGGCUCACCAAGGCGACGAUGGAUAGCCGGCCUGAGAGGGUGAUCGGCCACAAGGGGACUGAGACACGGCCCUUACUCCUACGGGAGGCAGCAGUGGGGAAUAUUGGGCAAUGGACCAAAAGUCUGAUCCAGCAAUUCUGUGUGCACGAUGAAGGUUUUCGGAUCGUAAAGUGCUUUCAGUUGGGAAGAAGAAAGUGACGGUACCAACAGAAGAAGCGACGGCUAAAUACGUGCCAGCAGCCGCGGUAAUACGUAUGUCGCAAGCGUUAUCCGGAUUUAUUGGGCGUAAAGCGCGUCUAGGCGGAUUCAUAAGUCUGAUGUUAAAAUGCGGGGCUCAACUCCGUAUUGCGUUGGAAACUGUGAAUCUAGAGUAUCAGAGAGGUGGGCGGAACUACAAGUGUAGAGGUGAAAUUCGUAGAUAUUUGUAGGAAUGCCGAUGGAGAAGUCAGCUCACUGGAUGAUACUGACGCUAAAGCGCGAAAGCGUGGGUAGCAAACAG